UUAAAGAAAAGAAAAAGAAAAGGGAAAACGGUGCGUUUGGAGAACUAGGGGGAAUUGUGUGUGACGAUUGAGAUUUCAUAUUUCAGACUCAACCCUCCUCUCUCGUGUCCGUUUUGCUCUCGACGCUCGCCGGAAAUCGCCCCGGCGGCGGAGCUUCUCAGAAACCGAAAUUAAACCCAUUGCUAGCCUCGUUCUCUCUCCCUAUCUCCAUAUCUCAAAUCAAUUCCCUCAUAUUCUGUUUUGAGUCCCUCAGAUUCAAGCUCACACGAAAACCCUAGAAGACUAAGAAGCGAAAUUGGAUGGAGACGAGAGAUGUGUUCAAGCUGAAACCAUGGGGGAAAUGUUCGCGGAACCUCGCUCUUUACAAUCGUAACAAGAAUCAAACGAAGAAGAUGAAGAAUGAAGACUUCUAAAACUUACCUGAGGUGAAGAUCACUGUUGCACGCUGAAAACUUCAUGUUUCACGGUGGGAAUGACUGGUUUUAGACUGCAACUUGCUUGUUUGGAUUGUGGUUCUGAGAUGAUGAUUUUCUUUGGAUCGAACUUGACGAUGUAUUGAAGCUGAAUUUGAACUUGUUUGUAGAUGCUGAACAACGGAAAUCGAUGGUUGCCACUGCUGUAACAACUAAAACGGAAGAGACAAGGCCUUGUUCAACAAAUGAGUGGCGCAUGGCAUGUUGGAGUUCUGAUUAGGAUGUAGCUUGCUGAUUCGAAGAUGUAUUCGAACCGACAGGUGUGGUAUGAACACUUGCGGGCCUUGAAUAUUGAAUGAUGAUUUGGUUUGAACUAAUGUAGCAGGUUUCCUAUGCAAACAUGUUAGCUACAAGUCUAGAAUGGCAUGGUUCAGUAGCAGGUUUAACAUAAACACAUGAAGGUUCAGAACACAAAGCUUAGUGUGAUAUAUGGGCAACAUCAUGAACCAUGAACGGGGAUUGCCUGAACAGGAGGAAAUAGUUUGAAGUGCAAUGAUAGAAGGCUUGGAGCAGAAUGAAGACUUGUAGGAUUAGGUCCAAGUAGUGCGUUGACUCUGGUCAACUAUUUGACCAAAAAGUCAACAGUUGACAAGAAGUCAACUCUAAGCCAAACAUGUAUAUUUUUUUCCAAUGGUGUAAUGUUUUGUACUGGUGCAUUUGGAAUGAAUGUAAAUGGAACUUGAACAGUGAUGUUGAAAUGUGGUUUUUCUCAUGAACAUGUUGACUUUUUAUA